rnacentral:lncRNA from 1 species
AGAACACAAAGUAGCAGUUUUAAAUAAUGAGAGAAGAUUCCACAUGGAACGCUCAUCUGGCUGUGGCAGCCUGUGACUGAAUGAGAGAAAAGUGCCCUAGAAGCUAUUCAUUACGAAUUCACUGGAAGCUCUCAAACGAGGCUGGCAGAAGCUGAAAUUGAAGUGGUCUCUGACCUAAUUUUCUUCUGCAUGAAACAUCUGCAUCAAGGCUCUCUUUGAUGUAUUCCACUUGGCUCUGUCUACGGGAUUGUAUCACAUGGACUCGGUGUUGCCUCCUUAUUGAAAGACAUUUCCAGCCUUUGCAAGAUGUUGUCACCUUCCUUCUUCCAUGGUUUAUGGAGUUUCAUGCCUCCUCUUCUUUCUGGAGGUCUUUGCAUGCAGAAUGUCAAGCAGAUCGUGCCUAAGGUCCCUUUCAGACCCUCUGGAGCCUGCUUCCUGUCCACAAAUAGGACACCUGCCAGGAGGCAAAAACCCCACGUCAUUCCUCCUGACCAUUCCUUCUCCAGAGAGAACCUUGUUUCCUGGCAGAAAGCAUCAGUGCUAAAACUAGCGAAUACCAACAGGUUUCAAAGACUAUGGAUCUUAAGUCAUGAGACUGGAGAAGACACCAAAGCGAUGAUCAUUUGGUUCCGGAAGAACAUGUAAAGGGUUCUAUGACAUCAAUAAACCACUGGCCUCAUUCUGGUGUUUGGCCAUUUAACACAGGAGUUAAAAGUGCCAGCCUGUUCUUUGCCAUAUCCUACAAGAUAAUUUCUUUUCUUUUCUUUUUU